CACCAGGUUGAUUCUGCCUGACGUGGACGCUAGUCUCACAGAUUUAGCCAUGCAUGUGUAAGCGAAGCUUAUAGUGGAGCGGUAUACGGCUCAGUAACGGGCGAUUCAUUUGUUCUCCUGGGACGGACAACAUCGGGAAACUGAUGGGAAAACGUCUAAGUUGCAGUUAAUUGACUGUGACGUAAACCUUUGUGUGCAGGAGAGUAAGAUGCCAUCCUAUCAGUUAGUAAGUAGGGUAAGGGCCUACUUAGACGAAGACGGGUACGGGGAAUGAGGGUUUGAUUCCGGAGAGGGAGCCUGAGAGAUGGCUACCAGGACCAAGGUCAGCAGCAGGCGCGAAAAUUAUCGAAGCCCGCCUAGGGGCGAUAGUGAGGAGACGUGUAUAACGAAGUACGUGUAAAGAACGUGCUAAUAACUGGAGGUCAAGUCUGGUGCCAGCAUCCGCGGUAAUUCCAGCUCCAGGGGUGUCUAUGAUGAUUGCUGCGAUUAAAAAGUCCGUAGUCAAUCUGACUGACUGACCUGCAAUGUGAUUGAUUAAAGAACGAGCAGGGUUAGGAAAGCAGAGAAUUAGGAGCGACCGAGGGCUAGAGUAUUGAAUGGCGAGAGGUGAAAUUUGAUGACCCAUUCAGGAGUGACAAAGGCGAAGGCACUAGUCAAGGGCGAAUCCGAUGAUCAAGGACGUAGGCUAGAGUUUCGAAAACGAUUAGAGACCGGAGUAGUUCUAGCAGUAAACUAUGCCGACGCCGUGGUAUCAACAAUGGUAUUGCGGAAGAGAAAUCAAGUAAGGCUUUGGGGAGAGUACGCGCGCAAGCGAUAAAUUUAAAGGAAAUU
rnacentral:rRNA from 1 species